rnacentral:rRNA from 1 species
UACGAAGGGGGCUAGCGUUGCUCGGAAUCACUGGGCGUAAAGCGCACGUAGGCGGAUUGUUAAGUCAGGGGUGAAAUCCUGGAGCUAAACUCCAGAACUGCCUUUGAUACUGGCGAUCUCGAGUCCGGGAGAGGUGAGUGGAACUGCGAGUGUAGAGGUGAAAUUCGUAGAUAUUCGCAAGAACACCAGUGGCGAAGGCGGCUCACUGGCCCGGUACUGACGCUGAGGUGCGAAAGCGUGGGGAGCAAACAGG